rnacentral:rRNA from 1 species
CCUACGAGGAUCUAUUGGAGGGCAAGUCUGGUGCCAGCAGCCGCGGUAAUUCCAGCUCCAAUAGCGUAUAUUAAAGUUGUUGCGGUUAAAAAGCUCGUAGUUGGAUCUCGGUUUCACUCAGGUGGUACACCUUGCGGUGUUCACUAUCUGGGUGGACGUUUCUGUUGGUUCGCUCUUGGUGCUCUUCAUCGGGUGCCAUUUGGUGGCCAGCACGUUUACUUUGAAAAAAUUGGAGUGCUCAAAGCAGGCGUUACAGCCUGAACAUUAGUGCAUGGAAUAAUGGAAUAGGAUCUCGAUUCUAUUUCGUUGGCUUUCGGAGUCGAGGUAAUGAUUAAUAGGGACAGACGGGGGCAUUCGUACUGCGACGUUAGAGGUGAAAUUCUUGGAUCGUCGCAAGACGGACUACUGCGAAAGCAUUUGCCAAGAAUGUUUUCAUUAAUCAAGAACGAAAGUUAGAGGUUCGAAGGCGAUCAGAUACCGCCCUAGUUCUAACCAUAAACGAUGCCAACCGGCGAUCCGUCGUCGUUAAUUGAAUGACUCGACGGGCAGCCUCCGGGAAACCAGAGUGUUUGGGUUCCGGGGGAAGUAUGGUUGCAAAGCUGAAACUUAAAGGAAUUGACGGAAGGGCACCACCAGGAGUGGAGCCUGCGGCUUAAUUUGACCCAACACGGGAAAUCUCACCAGGCCCGGACACCGGAAGGAUUGACAGAUUGAGAGCUCUUUCUUGAUUCGGUGGGUGGUGGUGCAUGGCCGUUCUUAGUUGGUGGAGCGAUUUGUCUGGUUAAUUCCGAUAACGAACGAGACUCUGGCCUACUAACUAGAAGGUCUAUCCUUUAUGGGUAGGCCUCUGCUUCUUAGAGGGACGGGCGGCGUUUAGCCGCACGAGAAUGAGCAAUAACAGGUCUGUGAUGCCCUUAGAUGUUCUGGGCUGCACGCGCGCUACACUGAAGGAAUCAGCAUGUUCUCCCCUCCCUGAAAAGGGCGGGUAACCCGUUGAAACUCCUUCGUGAUGGGGAUUGGAGAUUGUAAUUAUUCUCCAUGAACGAGGAAUUCCCAGUAGGCGCGAGUCAUCAGCUUGCGUCGAUUACGUCCCUGCCCUUUGUACACACCGCCCGUCGCUACUACCGAUCGAGUGAUUUAGUGAGGACUUCGGACUGGUCUUCAAGUUGGCUUCGGUCGGCUCGAAGUUCCGGAAAGAUGCCCAAACUUGAUCACUUAGAGGAAGUAAAAGUCGUAACAAGGUUUCCGUAGGUGAACCUGCGGAAG